rnacentral:tRNA from 1 species
GCCCACAUAGCUCAGUAGGUAGAGCACUUCCUUGGUAAGGAAGAGGUCAUCGGUUCGAAUCCGAUUGUGGGCU